rnacentral:rRNA from 1 species
CGAGUGGCGGACGGGUGAGUAACGCGUAGGAACCUGACGCGCAGUGGGGGAUAACGCUGGGAAACCGGCGCUAAUACCGCAUGUGGUCGGAGACGAAGAAAGCAGCAAUGCGCUGUGUGAGGGGCCUGCGUCCGAUUAGCUAGUUGGUGGGGUAAAGGCGUACCAAGGCACCGAUCGGUAGCCGGCCUGAGAGGGCACACGGCCACACCGGCACUGAAACACGGGCCAG